UGCUGGAGUCUAUCCCAGCUGACUCGGGUGAAGGCAGGGGACACCCUGGACAGGUCACCAGUCUGUCACAGGGCUACAUAUACAGACACACAAUCACACUCACAUUCACACCUACGGACAAUUUAGAGUAACCAAUUAACCUCAGCAUGUUUUUGGACUGUGGGAGGAAGCCGGAGUACCCGGAGAAAACCCACGCAUGCACAGGGAGAACAUGCAAACUCCAUGCAGAAAGAUCCCAGGCUGGGAUUUGAACCGGGAUCUUCUUGCUGCAAGGCCAAAGUGCUAACCACUACGACACUGUGCAGCCCUUAAGCAAUUCAUUCAUACUGUAAACAAAUUAAAGUACAGAGAUGUGUGCAGACCUACUGGCUUUAGCUUGACACCGACUUUGGAUUUCCUCUGUUCAACUGCAGCGACAAAGCACCUGCCAGCUUGCGUACGCCUCCUUGAGUUGAGGCAGAGUACUGAGAGCCUCACCUGCUGACUUUUCUCUGCACUGGAUCGCAGCAAUCAGCAGAAAUAGUUCUCCCACACAUACAUAAAAGACAUUACACAGACUGCAGAAAGUCAUGGUGUAUAAUGAAUAUUUCUGUAAAGUUCAUAUUGGCGAUAUGCUGAGGAACAGAAACAGGCACGCGUCAUGCAGCCCACUUUGUACUGGAUCAUGCAGUCAGACGUGAGCCACAGUUCGCCUCACCCGGGGUUUCUGCCCUGGAUUUGAUCGGAAAAACUCAAAUUCAGCAAUUUUUACUCAAUAAAACGUCAGAAAUGUGUAGUCAUACUGCAAAUGCAUUUUUAACACAGAUCAGUGGAAAAUAUUAAUAUUUAUUUAUGUACACUUUCUUUUUUCUUUUGUUGUCAUGAUGACAGGUGAGGCUGUGCCUCACUUGCCUCCCCUGACCGCACGUCACUGCUACAGUAGUACUAGUCAUAAUACAGUAUUACUACUACAGUAGUACUAGUCAUGAUAUAGUAUUACUACUACAGCAGUACUACAGUCAUAAUACAGUAAUAAUACUACAGUAGUACUACAGUCAUAAUACAGUAAUAAUACUACAGUAGUACUACAGUCAUAAUACAAUAAUAGUGUUACAGUAGUACUACAGUCAUAAUACAGUAAUAAUACUACAGUAGUACUACAGUCAUAAUACAAUAAUAGUGUUACAGUAGUACUACAGUCAUAAUACAGUAAUAAUACUACAGUAGUACUACAGUCAUAAUACAGUAAUAGUGUUACAGUAGUACUACAGUCAUAAUACAGUAAUAAUACUACAGUAGUACUACAGUCAUAAUACAAUAAUAGUGUUACAGUAGUACUACAGUCAUAAUACAGUAAUAAUACUACAGUGGUACUACAGUCAUAAUACAGUAAUAGUGUUACAGUAGUACUACAGUCAUAAUACAAUAAUAAUACUACAGUAGUACUACAGUCAUAAUACAGUAAUAGUGUUACAGUAGUACUACAGUCAUAAUACAGUAAUAAUACUACAGUAGUACUACAGUCAUAAUACAAUAAUAGUGUUACAGUCGUACUACAGUCAUAAUACAGUAAUAAUACUACAGUAGUACUACAGUCAUAAUACAGUAAUAGUGUUACAGUAGUACUACAGUCAUAAUACAAUAAUAGUGUUACAGCAGUACUACAGUCAUAAUACAGUAAUAAUACUACAGUAGUACUACAGUCAUAAUACAAUAAUAAUACUACAGUAGUACUACAGUCAUAAUACAGUAAUAAUACUACAGUAGUACUACAGUCAUAAUACAAUAAUAAUACUACAGUAGUACUACAGUCAUAAUACAAUAAUAGUGUUACAGCAGUACUACAGUCAUAAUACAGUAAUAAUACUACAGUAGUACUACAGUCAUAAUACAAUAAUAGUGUUACAGUAGUACUACAGUCAUAAUACAGUAAUAAUACUACAGUAGUACUACAGUCAUAAUACAGUAAUAGUGUUACAGCAGUACUACAGUCAUAAUACAGUAAUAGUGUUACAGCAGUACUACAGUCAUAAUACAAUAAUAAUACUACAGUAGUACUACAGUCAUAAUACAGUGAUAAUACUACAGCAGUACUACAGUCAUAAUACAGUAAUAAUACUACAGCAGUACUACAGUCAUAAUACAGUAAUAAUACUACAGUAGUACUACAGUCAUAAUACAGUAAUAGUGUUAUAGUAGUACUACAGUCAUAAUACAGUAAUAAUACUACAGUAGUACUACAGUCAUAAUACAGUGAUAAUACUACAGUGGUACUACAGUCAUAAUACAGUAAUAGUGUUACAGUAGUACUACAGUCAUAAUACAGUGAUAAUACUACAGUAGUACUACAGUCAUAAUACAGUAAUAAUACUACAGCAGUACUACAGUCAUAAUACAGUAAUAGUGUUAUAGUAGUACUACAGUCAUAAUACAGUGAUAAUACUACAGUGGUACUACAGUCAUAAUACAGUAAUAGUGUUACAGUAGUACUACAGUCAUAAUACAGUGAUAAUACUACAGUAGUACUACAGUCAUAAUACAGUGAUAAUACUACAGUAGUACUACAGUCAUAAUACAGUAAUAAUACUGCAGUAGUACUACAGUCAUAAUACAGUAAUAGUGUUACAGCAGUACUACAGUCAUAAUACAGUAAUAAUACUACAGUAGUACUACAGUCAUAAUACAGUAAUAGUGUUACAGCAGUACUACAGUCAUAAUACAGUAAUAAUACUACAGCAGUACUACAGUCAUAAUACAGUGAUAAUACUACAGUAGUACUACAGUCAUAAUACAUUAAUAAUACUACAGUAGUACUACAGUCAUAAUACAUUAAUAAUACUACAGUAGUACUACAGUCAUAAUACAGUGCUAGUUUUACAGUCCUACUACAGUAAUAAUACUACAGUAGUACUACAGUAAUAAUGCAGUAAUAAUACUACAGUAAUACUACAGCCUGAACGUUACCU